UUUCCUCCAAUCCGGAGUGGAGAAUACUUGAAAGAACGGCUCCGGCUCACGUAUGGAGUGUAGUUUAACGUCUUGUUCAACUGAACGAAGUGUCCUACAUUAAAACUAUCAUGUGGAGCGUCGAUAGUAACAUAAUGUUCAGCUAGCUGCUAAACAAUUUCAGCUUCUACUUGGACACCAUACGUAUCUGUGUCCAUACAUGAUCAGUAAGAUGAGAAGUGUCCAAUUUCACUUGAUUUCCUCCUUGUCUCCUCGGUCACAGCUCUCCUUCAUACUGGAGCUCCUCCCCCCCCCCCCCCUUCCCCUUUUCCAACGCCCCAAAAAAAAUGAAAAAAAGAAAAAAAAUCUUGUUGAACCUCCUUUGAAAAUGCUGC
rnacentral:lncRNA from 1 species